UACGAAGGGGACUAGCGUUGUUCGGAAUUACUGGGCGUAAAGCGCACGUAGGCGGAUUUGUAAGUCAGGGGUGAAAUCCCGGGGCUCAACCUCGGAACUGCCCUUUGAUACUGCAAAUCUCGAGUCCGAUAGAGGUGGGGUGGAAUUCCUAAGUGUAGAGGGUGAAAAUUCGUUAGAUAUUAGGAAAGGAAACACCCAGUG
rnacentral:rRNA from 1 species